AGCAUGCCCCGCCAGAGAUCGACCCAGCCCACUGAACCGAACUCACCUCCGAUGGUGACCGCAAUGUUUGGAUAUGAAUAAUUCACAUAAUUCACUGAAUCAACAAACUGAUUCUCAGUGUUCCAUGUACCUGUCUUGGAGUUGUACAGGUGGAGAUCAAAUCGCUUGCCGUUCUUAGGAUCGAUGAUCCUAUGAAGCAGGGCGAAGUAGAACAUAUCUUGGUCGCGGCAACGCAAAAGCACAACCUCGUUGUUGGAGAACUUGAUGUCGCACGGGAUGGGUAACAUCUUAAGUGACGGCCGGUUGUUCUCGGUGCCGGCCUGGUAGACGAAGUAGUGGCAGCUCUUAGCGUCGCGGCUGUCGUCCUGACGGAGGAUGGGGAUGCGGAGCAGGACGAGGUCGUCCUUCGAGUAGAUGACCUUGGGCAACCAGUCGAACGCGGAGGGCUUCACGUCGGGGGAAUGGACAGUGAAGCAGGAGACCCGCGGCGGGCUGGCCGCCCAGAAGGUGACCUGGAUUCUCUUGCCGUCCGCCGUGAAGCCAUCGGCGGUAGUGCCGUUGAGGCGACAGCUGAGGUAGCCGUAUCGGUCGAGGAGGAUCGACUCAGGAGGAGGAGAACCCGGAUCCUCGGUGUGGAUAAGCGGAGGGAUCCUGAGGAACGGAUUGACGGACGAGUCGGCCAUGGGAAGAUCUGGUGUGUGGGCGGAGCGGGGAGAGUCGACGCGGAGGUGAGGGGAUCGGAUCUGAGCGGCGGCUUGGCUGCCGAAAGGUACCGAUGAUUUGUGUAGGUAGAUCGUUGGCCGUAGAUGGUCUGGAGCAGGUUGCCUCCCUCCCUCUUUCAAAAAUCCCCUCUGACGUGCUGACCUCACAUUGAGCCUAGUUCUGAGAGCAAUUUUCAUGCCCAGCUUACAGAAAAGAUCCGUAUGCUAAUGCAAUCUCAUGGUUAUCUGGAUGCAUUGACUUGAAUUGGCACUACAUGAUUUCUCUGAUCUCAGUUUAUCUCGCUGAGACACCAAGAGCUGCUGCGCCUGUAAAUUGGUACUUGCCAAGAUCAUUCUAGUCAUCAAUUAAAAAUAGAUAAAUCUAGGCAUAGUUUCUAAUUGUAGUAUGCUCAUGUUUUAUGCCAUUCUAGUAUCUAUCCAAAUAAAAAUUCUUUUAGUUGGCAUAUUAUCCAUAUUGAUUAUUCCACAAUGUAGAUCAGUCCUUUUCGACAAGGUUUAUUUGUUGGAUAAGAGAUACCUAUUCAGAUAACUAGAGAUUUGUUUCCUUCUUUUCUCUUAUAAAUGAUUUGAUGAAUUUUAUACUUUUAAUUGUGAAUAUGACUAGAUGAGUUCAAUUAAAAAUUCAGAUGAGCGAUUUGGUUUUGGUUCAGUGAUGUAAAUUUUCAGAUGUGCAUGCUCCUUACUGCCUGAUAUACAUUCAUCUGAGAGAUGCUGAUAUGAUUUGCCAAUCCGAAUUUGGUGCUAGGUGCAGGUUUUGGUUUGAUCCCUUGAUAUGAGUUAAUAAAUUCAGAUCAGUAUACUUUGUUAAUCAUUCCAGAUGUUCUGAAGCUUUGGACUUAGAAACAUUGCAUACGAAACUACUUUGCCUUGUCAAUAUGCCUCUUUCUAUCCGAAAUGCUUAUGGUAGGCCCGAUUGGCUUCUUUUUUAGUCCCUGACGUUGUGUGAUGCUGUCUCUACAGGGUUGACGGGAUGGCUUCUACUACCAAGGCCCAUGCUUCAUGACUAGCUGGAGUUGACGAGCAGAAGGCCAACAGUGUUACGUGAAUUACGCAACUCCUGCUGGCUCCGACCCAAACAUAGCCUUUUGGAUCAUCUUUUGUGCAGGUGUUGAGCACCAGGACCAUCUAGCUAAACUUCCAUGUGCUGCGAUUAGGUUCCUGCCUGGAUUUGGUUAUAUUACCCAUUUUCACCAUUCUAUUCUUCAACUCCGUUCAUUUUAUUUUAGCUCUUCCAUGAGAUGAGAUGGGUCUUGCAAACGUCUUUCUUAUUGAUAUUAUAUGCAUAUUUUUUUAAAACUGAUUACUAGUUAAAGUUAUGUAGUAAAGGGUGGAUCAAAGUGCCACUUCCAUAGUUGUUACAUGAACUAGUCGUUGGUUAGGUUUCUGAAAUCAUGUCAGUAUCUGCUCUUCUUAAAUUGCAUGUAUUGAAUUUUAGGCAUGCGAUUCUAUAUUGUUAUAUAUAUCUAUGUAGUAGCUGAUAUUACAGAUUUAAGGUUCCUUAUUGUUACAUUUUAAAUGGUCUGCUUAGGUCACCUUGCAGUGAGAUGGCAUCCAGUAAUCUCUGUUGCUUUGUUCAAAUUUGAUGGCACUACUCUUAAUACCGAGUCCCUCAAUAGUGUCAGCAUGAUUGCAUAGCUGGAAUGGUGGCUAAAUUAAACAUUGGGCUCAGUUCAAUUGUCAUUUUAGAGCACCCUCUGCACUGCUCUUGAGCUCCAGGACCAUCUUCUUGCGAAACUUCAAUGACCUUAGGUUAGGUUCCUGCAUGCAGCUUUGAUUUGGUUUUCUAUUGUUGCCAGUCUGUUGUUCUUCAGUUCCCAUUCAUUUUGUUAUGGCUUUUCCAUGAGAUGGAUCCUGCAAACUGCUAUCUGCUUUGCAUAUAAUUGCAAUAUAAGCUAUUUCCAUUCACAUGCGUCAUCAUUUGUGAAUAGAAAAGUAUAUGCCACAAUGCAUAGGUUGUUAGCUCUUGUGUUCCAGCAUAGUAUUAUUUGUGCUCAAGCUAAUUUUGAUGCAAAUAACUGAGGUUUCUAUGGUGCAAUACACCUAGGAAUAUAUAGCAGGGAUUGAGAAAACCUACCAUUCAAAAUUCCAUUCACCUCGUACAUAUGUUUAGCCUAGUCUUUGUGCAGGAUAAGCUCAAGAUCUAAUCACAUAUGAUCAACAUAGUAUUACAGGACAUCUUAUGUUCAUUCGUACUACAAGUGCAACACAAAUCAAGCAUCAUGGAGAGUCUUCCAUUAAGUUAUAUAAAAAGAACAGUCAGUAGAUGGAUAGGAGAAAAGCUUCUAGCCCCAAAUGAUUUUAGAACAAACCCUGCUAAACCUAAUGUCUAUUGCCUAUUAUCCUGCCACUAGUAGGGAUCUUGAAGCUAAGCAGCAAGAAACCUGCAUAAUCACUAAUUAAGAAUAAUCACAUUCAAACAUAGAAGCUAGAUUGCUAUGCUAUCCUAUCCUCAGUUACCUCCGAUGGCACAAACGCCAUGAACCUUGUCAUAGGAGUGGGAUUAUAGGGGGCUAAAUCCAUCAGCCCUCUUUUCGCCAUCAUAUUCCUGCAUUCACCAUGAGUGAUGGAACCAAAUUGUGCAUUAACCUGCCAUGUCAAAGAAUGCAUGAUAACCUCAAGGUCAAUGUAGAUUGAUAUGAUUUUUUUUCAUUACAAGAAAGGGACUGGUUAUCUGCACAUCUCAAGAAAGAACAGACACACAUCAAUCCAUUUUUCCAUCCAUUUUUCGAGGAUGCAUAUGUACCAUAGGAGCACGAACAUAAUACAGUAACAGAUAAAUAGGUACAGAACCUCAAGAGUAAACUGCAAUUCAGGAAUCAUGGCACAUAUCAGAUUAUUAAGACAUGUUAUAGUCCGACCUCAAGUUCUAGCCUAAAUCAUGUAAAUCUUCUAGAAAGAGAAUGUCCCCACUACACUUGCCGAGUAUAAUUUAACAAGCAAAAUGGAAGAAAAGAAAAGCAUCCCCAUUGCAUUUUUGAGAUAAUGACCUCACAAAUGUUCCCUCUUUGUGACUUCCAUUCACAGUUAGAGAGAAAAUAAUUUCAGUAAGCAACUUAAAAUAAUGUGAACAUUUUUUCAUGAGGGGGAUAGCACACUGAAAAACGAACACCAUCUCUUGGCUGAUGCACAAGCUUGAAACGUGAUUCUAGAUGUGUCUUUGCAGGUGUACAAUUCUCAAAAUAUAUUAAGUUAUGAUCACAACUGUAGAUCAAGAUAAGGCUAUUUUAGCUAGAGGCAUCACCAUCCAUGCAUCUUGAGUUGGCAUAUUCUUAUUAAAAUGUAUGUACAUAUAUUUUUGCUCUUAAAUGCCAACUGCAAUAAUGUUCAUAUAUCAAGCUGGACAGAAACACGGUAGUCGGCGCAGGAUAGAUAGCACAAUGGAAGCAGAGGCGGGCUUCAUUGGCUGUUGGCCCUGCUUAGCAGAGGCGGGGAGGUUUUGGGCUAAAAAGGCUUGAGGAAGAGAAGUGGUGGCCCUAUGCUGGGGUGUUCUGGGCUGGAUUCAAGAUAUUGGAAAAGAGGGAAGGAGAAGGUAUGCUAGGAUAGAGAGGCAUUCGAUCCAUAAAUGGCAUUAUUUCUGACCUAGCUUGUCAGUCAUAAAUAGUCAUGGCUUUUAUGACUCAGCUAAAGGAGGCCCGGCAGCUGCUUGCUACUAUCUACUCAUUGGGCGUCCUAUCAUCGGACACUAGUGGGAGCGUUGAACUGCUCAUUCCCCUUCCCCUGUUCAUCUUUGUCGCAGCUUGAUCCUAAGAUUUGAACUUCAUAUAUAUGUGCGGUUCAAUGGAGAAUUCGUUUGGAGAUACAAGUGAUACAACCUACAUGUGCACUUAUGUUUUCCUUGAACCAUGUACAUUUAACCGUGAAAUGUGUUGAAAUGCCUUUUGGAUCAAACCUUCUUUGACAUUUUGUCAUUUUUUUGCUUGAAUCUCCUUUAUGUGGCAGAAUAGCCCAUUGCCAGCAGGUUUUGGGAGCAUUUUGGAAAAUUUUGCUAGUGCACGAAAAACGAUGCAAAAUGGGUGCAUUUCGGUAACCAAAUGCUCUAUUUCGAGGUAGCGUACUUCCGACGGAUUUUUUUCCCUACGAAUACAUCCAAUCUACCCCAUUAAACCCUAGAUGAUGUUUGGGAGCAUUUUAGAGUAUUUCGCUAGUGCACGAAAAAGAUGCGAAACGGGUGCAUUUCGAUACCCAAAUGCACUGUUUCGACUGAUUAUUCGCUAUGAACACAUCCAAUCUACUCCAUUAGACCCUAGAUGAUGUUUGGGAGCAUUGCGCUGCAAAAAAAAGAUGCGAAACGGAUGCGUUUCAGUACCCGAAUGCACUGUUUCGGGAUAUCGAACUUCCGACGGAUUUUUUCGCUACGAACGCAUCCAAUCUACUCCAUUAGACCCUAGAUUAUAUUUGGGAGCAUUUUGGAAUAUUUCGAUAGUGCAGAAAAACGAUGCGAAAUGGGUGCGUUUCGGUACCCGUAUGCACCAUUUGUAGCGAACUUUUGAUGGAUUUUUUUUUGCUACAAACGCAUCCAAUCUACUCCAUUAGACCCUAGAUUAUAUUUGGGAGCAUUUUGGAACAUUUCGAUAGUGCAGAAAAACGAUGCGAAAUGGGUGUGUUUAGUACACGUAUGCUUUGUUUCGGGGUAGCGAACUUUUGAUGGAUUUUUUCGCUACGAACGCAUCCAAACUACUCCAUUAGACCCUAGAUGAUUUUUGGGAGCAUUUUGGAACAUUUCGCUAGUGCACGAAAAAUGAUGCGAAAUGGGUGCGUUUCGGUACCGAAUGCACUGUUUUGGGGUAGCGAACUUCUGACGGAUUUUUUCGCUAGGAACGCAUGCAAUCUACUCCAUUAGACCCUAGAUGAUGUUUGGGAGUAUUUUGGAGCAUUUAGUUAGUGCACGAAAAAUGAUGCAAAACAGUGCAUUUCAGUACAACUAUGGAAAUGUUGCGAAAAAUUGUUAUAAGGAUAUGGAAAUGUUUUGAAAAUGAUAUUUCAAAUAAUAUACUAGUUACAACUAUUAAAUGAGGCACCAUCACAAUGGUCAUGAAAUAAAAUGUAAAAUAUCAAAACUUGGCAUGUCUGUUUGCUUGAAAAUGGAACGAAGGAGUGGCACGCUGGAGGCGUGCCUCAGACUCUAGUAGUAUAAGUUCUGAACUGAGAUGGAAAAAAGGCACGCCGAAUGGGCGUCUCAAGCUCUAGUUGGCAGAAUAGGGCCACAUCAUCACUACAGCCUCAAGCCCUAAAAGGCUCAAAGAAAGAUGCUCACCAACCAGAUAGCAAAAUCAUAAGAGGAGGUUGGUAGCCAUAUAACCAAAGAGACACGGCAACUAGAUAAUGAAAACACGAGUUCCUCAGGGAUGAGGCUAAAGGAGGUCGGCAGCCACAUAGCCAAAGAGGCACUAGGGUAUUUGGUUACUCGUAUCAUUUAAGUUCGUAUAAAGAUAAAUACUGUUCCUUUUAUUUGGUUGGAUUAAAGGUGUAUUUGGUUACAUGCACCACAUGAUUAAAUGCAUGGAUGAUCCUAGAUGGUGGGUUCAACCAAUUUGUUUGCAUCAUAUGGUUCGCUAUUAUUAGUAAAAUAAUGUAUCAAGUGGGAUGGCUUCAUCAUGACCGGGGACCGGGAUGGUACAAUUCAUCUAACCAAACAAAAGAAUCAUUAUUAUUUUGAACCAUUUCAUACAUGAAUCAAAUAAUACAAAUGAUACAAAGCAACAAAACACACCCCGAUUGUACCAACUCAUCCCGGAUGCCCACUUUAGUACAAUUACAGGUGUGAACUCUAUGAUACAAACUAGUUGAAUUACACCAUGCAGAUAUCCAUACAUCAUGCAGAGAGGUCAGCAGCACUCCUAGGACCCUCGGAAGAUGCUUAGAUAUUGUUGACAAUGGCCAUUCAUCCAUAAAUAAGUAAUGAAAUAUGUGUUUAAAAAAAUGCAUUCAUCCAUAAAUAACAGCCCUCACACGGCUAGCAUGCCACAUAGUCCUCGAUGACUAACAAAUAUAGUCCGCAAACAUAGCUGACACGAUGCAAGCUAAUGUAAUACAGGUCCAUCAAUAAUGCAACACCUCAUAGACAUCACACCACGGGUGAGGUGUGAAGGGCUUUGUUUCAACUUGCACACCAAUUUAGUGAUCACCAUGCUAAGUAGUACCCUUUGUGCUUUGCUUCCAAGUUUAGACUUAGGUUGCGGUUGGCUGCGGUUCAGCGUUCACCUCUAGAACUUCUAGCUUGCAUGGCCCCAGACAUCCAUCCCUACUUGUUUCACCAGCAUUCCUCCCAGAUCUGUUUCAUGUACAAGAGUGCAUCUUAGUUAAAAAAUCCCUUGGUUUGAAAACAAUAAUUAUAGAUGAUAAGAAAAAGCAAGAAUUCUAUAGUAAACAUGUCUAUGUACUAACAGAAACCUAAACAGCAAAAGCAAAGAUUACAUAGCAAGCAUGUUCAUGUACCAAAAGAAAAUAUUGCUUCAUUGGUGCAAAUUUUUGCAUCAUUUUGGCAAUAAUGACCAAGAAAUUCUGUUCAGUAAGGGUGAGGCACACCAUAUGGCCUGCAACAUGCAACGUGUGCUUGAAUUAUGGAAAUGAGACAAUUGCGCACUGGUGUGUUAACAUUUUCCCCUCAAAGAAGUUAACUAUAAAGAUUAUUUGGCUCCUUAGAUGGUAUGAAAAAUCACAAGGUUAGGCAACUAGUAAUACAGAUAGUGCUUACUGUGUUCAAUUCAAGUCAUAUUGGUUCUGAUAAAAAUUAAUAAAUCUUAAGAGAAAAGGAAAAAUAUGUAGCAGGCAGGGGUGGAGCUGCACGGGGUGCUGGGGGUGCUGCAGCACCCCCUCAGGUCAUGCUAGUCCAUUUAAUAUUAACUGUUUUAUCUUAAAACUUUGAACAUAAAACAUGAACUUAGUUCAAUUAUAGAGUCUCAGCACCCCCUUUGAGCUGAUUCUGGCUCCACCCCUGGUAGCAGGCAUGUGCACAUUCCAGAAGCAAGCAUUGUUUUAGUGUUGCACAUUUAGCACCAUUUUAACCAUGACCAAUAAGGGCGAGUUACACAAUAUGGCAUGCAAGGUGGAACACAUGAAAGAUGAAUCCUGGCUAUGAGAUAGGAUAAUAGAUAUUUGGUAGCCAUGAACAAACUGCUAAACCAUAUGAUCUUUCAGGCACAGCACACUAUAAGCAGAAACUUCUGGGAGAAGGGUUUUACUAGACAUGAUAGGGAACAAUGCAGUACAGUUGAGACAGACUUCUUUAAAUGUUGAAAUGAAGCGAUCCCUUAUACUUCAUCAAAAAGAAGCUCCAGAAUGUAGAUGUAGUGGCGGGGGAGGUAUAAGUGCUAAUUUUGCGGAUGGAAAUGUAAAAGAUAGUACGAUUUAUCAAUGCAGGUACAAUAUUAACAAUCGAGAGACAAAUAGUUAAUUGAAUAACAAUAAACCAGACAGAUCUAAAGAACACUAGGACUAGGAGCACUGCUAUGAAUAAAUAAUGACUAAUAAUGAAGACCGGAAGCAAAAUGAGCGUUAUUACACAGUAUACCAUGAUGUUAGUAGUAUAACAUAAUUAAAACAAAUGCUCCUGCCAGAUAACAAAUGGAUACCGCAGCUUCAGAAUGAAAGAACCUACUCGUGCUGCUGGUACAUUUUAGUUUUAGUUUAUAUGUACUAUGUUGGUCCAAAACAGAGAAUGCAAAAAAAAAUUACCUGGAGGAGGACCAAAUGUUCAGAUGCUUGGAGAUCCCACUUUUAAGGUAGGUGAAAGUGUAACCCAGAGGCCUUCCAGAGCCAAAAUCAGCCACAUCUUUUAGAGUCUUUUUUCUCAUAUCAAGUGCAAUCACCAAUGCCUUGUCCUCAUCGGGAUCAGGUGUGUGCAUGAUGUAAACAACAUCAGCGUCAUGCAAGCUCAGAGCAGGGUAACCCGCACAAAGUCUCAUCAAGGUUAGCUUUGUAUUUUUAACCUGUUUCAGAUUAGGCAGCAUCAGCAUUCGAGCAAACUUGGGGCUGUCCACUGGGAUGUCAGAAAAUUUGAAAGUGCAGUCCUCUUCCCAGUUGUUCCCAGAACCAAUAUCUGAAAUUUUCAUUUUCUUUGUUGCAGCCACCAAAUCUUGAGUUGCAGACGUGAGUCCAGAGCCUGGUCUGACGUCGUAGCUCAUCUCGAAAUACUUGAUGCAAUCUCCAACCACAACAAUGUCCCGGAAAUACAUCGGAUAACCCUUGAGCAGCUUGGGCACCAGUGGCAAUGGUAAUGGAAUAUAGCGAAGACUGUGGUUGUCCCGGAGAAGGUCACAGAUAAGCAUGCCCCGCCAGAGAUCGACCCAGCCCACUGAACCGAACUCACCUCCGAUGGUGACCGCAAUGUUUGGAUAUGAAUAAUUCAAAUAAUUCACUGAAUCAACAAACUGAUUCUCAGUGUUCCAUGUACCUGUCUUGGAGUUGUACAGGUGGAGAUCAAAUCGCUUGCCGUUGUUCUUAGGAUCGAUGAUCCUAUGAAGCAGGGCGAAGUAGAACAUAUCUUGGUCGCGGCAACGCAACAGCACAAGCUCGUCGUAGGAGAAC
rnacentral:lncRNA from 1 species